rnacentral:rRNA from 1 species
ACAGGUGUCUCAUCAAACUGAAUUCAUUCUACAGUGUCGAUCCCAUCUGAUCUUGCAAGCUAAGCAGGGUCCACCUUGGUUAGUAUUUGGAUGGGAGACCCUCAGUGAAUACCAAGGCCAUAUUUC